rnacentral:rRNA from 1 species
UACGAAGGGGGCUAGCGUUGUUCGGAAUUACUGGGCGUAAAGCGUGCGCAGGCGGCUUCUCAAGUCAGGGGUGAAAGCCCAGAGCUCAACUCUGGAACUGCCUUUGAGACUGAGAGGCUUGAGUACGGGAGAGGUGAGUGGAAUUCCCAGUGUAGAGGUGAAAUUCGUAGAUAUUGGGAAGAACACCGGUGGCAAAGGCGGCUCACUGGCCCGAAACUGACGCUACAUGCACGACAGCGUGGGGAUCAAACAGGAGUUAGAA